GAUGAGUACGGAAACCCAGUUCGUCAGACAGACGAAUAUGGUAACCCAGCCCGCCAUGGAGGUACCAUGGGUGAUUAUGGAACCACUGGCACUACUGGAGCCUAUGGUGGCACAGCUGGAGCACAUGGGACUUAUGCAACUGGAACCACCGGCACUACCGGUACCGGUGCGUAUGCCACCCAGCCUGGCACUGAUGUGGGGAAGGAGCACCAUGGCCUUGGUGGCAUGCUUCAUCGCUCUGGUAGCGGUAGCUCUAGCUCGGUAUGCCCUCCUAAUUAAUCUCGUCUUGCUUAAAUUGUACUGAGUUGUAGUAGCAUUUAACAAAUCUUGACCAGCUUGUGAUGACUGGUAAUUAAAAAGUUCUUAUCUGUUUUCUUUUUGUUUUUUCGGUUGGGAUGCAGUCCGAGGAUGAUGGGCAAGGCGGGAGGAGGAAGAAGGGGAUGAAGGAGAAGAUAAAGGAGAAACUGCCUGGCGGUCACAAGGAGGCUCGACCUGGACAAGAAUAUUCGAGUGCUACUACAGCUCCUGGAUACGGCGGGGAAGGAGAGCAGCACGAGAAGAAAGGAAUUAUG
rnacentral:lncRNA from 1 species